GUGCUCGCUUCGGCAGCACAUAUUCUAAAAUUGGAACGAUACAGAGAAGAUUAGCAUGGCCCCUGCGCAAGGAUAACACUGUAUUUUAAAAACUAGUGAUUUUGU
rnacentral:snRNA from 1 species